GUAUUGGAAUUUAUUGUGUUGUGAAUGCUGAGUUUAGUAAUGUCGACAUUUUGAAGCUCCCCACGGCAACUUGUAUCCUUAAAUAAACUAAAACCAUAAUAACACUAAAUAUUUCACACAUAAUUCCGUGAUACUUUUCCAACACUGAGAAUUUAACACAUACAAGGACAUAGUAUUGGAAUUUAUAGCGGGCAAGGAGAAGAGAGUGAAUUCCUUGAGAGAGCCACAGUUGAUGAUGGCGUCGGUACCUGCCGCCAAGAGACACGGUUGACCUAACUGGAGUGCCGUUAUAUUUUCAGCCUGUAUAGAGGUGACAGUGCCGUGACAGAGGUGGUGGAGGUUAUUAAUGCACCAAGGAACAGGUGUGUAAGGUGUGGCAGUGGUGUUGAUAAGGGAUUAGUGUGUAAGGAAGGAAAGAAUUGUGGUGGGCCGAGUGCACAACAAACAGUGGUGAUGGCCGUGUGGUGUUGCUUAUACACCCCAUAAACACCCCGCAACACAUCCACAACAUGCCCAUUUACACCCAAACACACAAAGUGAAGUGAUGACAUUCCCGACAGCACCAGCGGCAAGACAAGAGACCAAUGCAACUCUUCACCACGACUCUCCACAACGCCUCACCAUCAUUUAUUUCAGGCUCAGGCGUGUAGAUGGGAGCAGUAGAAGAAA
rnacentral:lncRNA from 1 species